rnacentral:rRNA from 1 species
GAUGAACGCUGGCGGCGUGCCUAAUACAUGCAAGUCGAGCGAACGGACGAGAAGCUUGCUUCUCUGAUGUUAGCGGCGGACGGGUGAGUAACACGUGGAUAACCUACCUAUAAGACUGGGAUAACUUCGGGAAACCGGAGCUAAUACCGGAUGAUAUUUUGAACCGCAUGGUUCAAAAGUGAAAGACGGUCUUGCUGUCACUUAUAGAUGGAUCCGCGCUGCAUUAGCUAGUUGGUAAGGUAACGGCUUACCAAGGCAACGAUGCAUAGCCGACCUGAGAGGGUGAUCGGCCACACUGGAACUGAGACACGGUCCAGACUCCUACGGGAGGCAGCAGUAGGGAAUCUUCCGCAAUGGGCGAAAGCCUGACGGAGCAACGCCGCGUGAGUGAUGAAGGUCUUCGGAUCGUAAAGCUCUGUUAUUAGGGAAGAACAUAUGUGUAAGUAACUGUGCACAUCUUGACGGUACCUAAUCAGAAAGCCCCGGCUAACUACGUG